rnacentral:rRNA from 1 species
AGUGAACGCUGGCGGUAGGCCUAACACAUGCAAGUCGAACGGCAGCACAGUAAGAGCUUGCUCUUACGAGUGGCGAGUGGCGGACGGGUGAGGAAUACAUCGGAAUCUACUUUUUCGUGGGGGAUAACGUAGGGAAACUUACGCUAAUACCGCAUACGACCUACGGGUGAAAGCAGGGGAUCUUCGGACCUUGCGCGAUUGAAUGAGCCGAUGUCGGAUUAGCUAGUUGGCGGGGUAAAGGCCCACCAAGGCGACGAUCCGUAGCUGGUCUGAGAGGAUGAUCAGCCACACUGGAACUGAGACACGGUCCAGACUCCUACGGGAGGCAGCAGUGGGGAAUAUUGGACAAUGGGCGCAAGCCUGAUCCAGCCAUACCGCGUGGGUGAAGAAGGCCUUCGGGUUGUAAAGCCCCUUUGUUGGGAAAGAAAAGCAGCAGGUUAAUACCCCGCUGUUCUGACGGUACCCAAAGAAUAAGCACCGGCUAACUUCGUG